rnacentral:rRNA from 1 species
UACAGAGGUGGCAAGCGUUGUUCGGAAUUACUGGGCGUAAAGGGCGCGUAGGCGGUCAGCACAAGUCAGUUGUGAAAUCUCCGGGCUUAACUCGGAAAGGUCAACUGAUACUGUGCGACUAGAGUGCAGAAGGGGCAACUGGAAUUCUCGGUGUAGCGGUGAAAUGCGUAGAUAUCGAGAGGAACACCUGCGGCGAAGGCGGGUUGCUGGGCUGACACUGACGCUGAUGCGCGAAAGCCAGGGGAGCGAACGGG